rnacentral:rRNA from 1 species
GCGAGGGAAAAACCAACAGGGAUUGCCCCAGUAACGGCGAGUGAAGCGGCAAUAGCUCAAAUUUGAAAUCUGGCCCUUUCAGGGUCCGAGUUGUAAUUUGCAGAGGGCGCUUUGGUGUCGGCAGCAGCCUAAGUUCCUUGGAACAGGUCAUCAUAGAGGGUGAGAAUCCCGUAUGUGGCUGCUUGUCUUCACCGUGUAAAGCCCCUUCGAUGAGUCGAGUUGUUUGGGAAUGCAGCUCUAAAUGGGAGGUAAAUUUCUUCUAAAGCUAAAUAUUGGCCAGAGACCGAUAGCGCACAAGUAGAGUGAUCGAAAGAUGAAAAGCACUUUGGAAAGAGAGUCAAAAAGCACGUGAAAUUGUUGAAAGGGAAGCGCUUGCAGCCAGACGUGCCCGUAGUCGCUCAAAUGGGAAUUUCUUCUUUGUACUCUUCUAUGGGCAGGCCAGCAUCAGUUCGGGCGGUUGGAUAAAGACCUGCGUCAUGUGUCUCUCUUCGGGGAGUGUUAUAGGGCAGGUGGAAUACAAUCAGCCUGGACUGAGGUCCGCGCAUCUGCUAGGAUGCUGGCGUAAUGGCUGUAAGCGGCCCGUCUUGAAACACGGACCAAGGAGUCUAACAUCUAUGCGAGUGUUUGGGUGUCAAGCCCGAGCGCGUAAUGAAAGUGAACGGAGGUGGGAACCCCUCGGGGUGCACCAUCGACCGAUCCUGAUGUCUUCGGAUGGAUUUGAGUAAGAGCAUAGCUGUUGGGACCCGAAAGAUGGUGAACUAUGCCUGAAUAGGGUGAAGCCAGAGGAAACUCUGGUGGAGGCUCGCAGCGGUUCUGACGUGCAAAUCGAUCGUCAAAUUUGGGCAUAGGGGCGAAAGACUAAUCGA